GUAGGGGGGCCAAACGUUGUCCGGAUUUAUUGGGCGUAAAGGGCUCGUAGGCGGGUUCAACAAGUCGGUCGUGAAAUGCCGGGGGCUCAACCCCGGAACGCCGGUCGAAACUGUUGUGACUAGGGUCCGGUAGAGGUGAGUGGAAUUCUCGGUGUAGCGGUGGAAUGCGCAGAUAUCGAGAGGAACACCAGUUGCGAAGGCGGCUCACUGGGCCGGUACCGACGCUAAGGAGCGAAAGCAUCGGGGAGCAAACAGGAUUAGAUACCCUGGUAGUCCAUGCCGUAAACUGUGAACACUAGGUGUGGCGGAUCUAUUGAUGUCUGCCGUACCGUAGCUAACGCGUUAAGUGUUCCGCCUGGGGAGUACGGCCGCAAGGCUA
rnacentral:rRNA from 1 species